UCCUGUACCAUGCGGUACUGGUCGGGUUGGCCCUUAACAGUUCACUUUUUAACAGGGAAAAGUGGGGUGUUGCAUGGAGAUGUGCACUUGGUGAGGGCACCUUUGGCAAGCAGAGACUCAACUUGUUUGGUGAUGGCUUCAGCUUGUGCUGGCUUCAGAGGAUACUGAGGUCUACGAGGAGGAAGUGCUCCAGGCAGGAGCUGGACCAGGACGGGGGGUACACGUAAGCGUCCAAUAUCAUCCGGGCCGGUGGACCAAAGUUCUUGGGGGAUACGAUCCAGAGCACUGGGGGGGGGUGUGACCCGUGCACUCCCUGUAUUGUCAGUUAGGUUCAACAAGAUGGGGAGUGAGCAGAGUACAGUGGUGUCUGUCUGUGAUAAGGGUGUAGUUAACUGGACCCUGGAGCUGAGAAAGAACAUCAGCACCCAAGAGGUUAAUGGGACAAGUAGAAGAAACAACAAAACGUGAGAGUAUGUAUGAACCAACAUGCAGGAGUGUAGUGAGGGGGCUACUGCGGGGUGUACCAUCCACCCCAACACAGGAGACAUCGGUGUCUGACAAAAAGGAGGGGUCAUGGCAGGGGUUGCUGACACAGGCUUGCCGGUAACCUAUUGCAGUAAAUCUAAAUGGGCCUGGUCGGGUCCUUGGUACCGGUGGGUAGAAGUGGGAGGGUGGCUGGACUGCAUAGGAGCACGGGCAAGGCGGCUUUGUCGAGGUAGGGGCUGAAUAUCUCGGAAACCACCCGUGUCAAACCCAUCAGCAUGAGCUGGAGGGUAUGCACGGGCCUCUAAAGCAGGGGGCCGGCUGGGAUGGGCGGGAUAGGUGAGUAUUAAGGACGUGAGCAAGGGCAGAGAUUGGAUCGGAAGGCUCGGGGACGUUAGCCGGGGGCGGAGAAGGGGUUGGAGGAUCAGAGGGAGGAGGUGGUAAAUCAGUGGGAGGCGGGGCAGGAAUCGCGGAAUUAACCAGGGAGGUAACAGCAGAGAAGAGGGCGGAUAUCGAGCUAGACAGGUCAUUGGCCAUGGUUGAGUCAGGGGUCACCGGGGGAGGGGUCGGAGGGAUGGGAACAGGGGGCUGGGUCGCAACAGCGUGGGUAGAGGGUUGGGACGGCAAAUCAGUCGGGAGGGGAGGAGGCAACGAAGUAGAGGGGACCGGGAUAUCGGGAGGGGGUACCACUGGAGAAGGGGUUGGAGGGGUGGGAACGGGGGGCUGGGUCAGGGCGGUAAGGGCAGAGAUUAGGGACGGCAAAUCAGCCGAGGGGGGAGGAGGCAACGAGGUAGAGGGGGCCGGGACUUCGGGAGGAGGAGGUAACACUGG